rnacentral:rRNA from 1 species
AAUCAACGCUGGCGGCGUGCCUCAGACAUGCAAGUCGAACGCGAAAGUUCCCUUCGGGGAGCGAGUAGAGUGGCGUCCGGGUGAGUAACACGUAGGUAAUCUACCUUUGGGUGGGGAAUAACAACCGGAAACGGUUGCUAAUACCGCAUAAUGCAGCGGCACCGCAUGGUGACAGUUGUUAAAGCGGGGGAUCGCAAGACCUCGCGCCUAAAGAGGAGCCUGUGGCGGAUUAGCUAGUGGCAGGGUAACGGCCUACCAAGGCAACGAUCCGUAGCCGGCCUGAGAGGGCGGUCGGCCACACUGACACUGAAAUACGGGUCAGACUCCUACGGGAGGCAGCAGUCGGGAAUUUUGGGCAAUGGGCGCAAGCCUGACCCAGCAACGCCGCGUGAAGGAUGAAAUCCCUCGGGAUGUAAACUUCGCAAGAACGGGAAGAAUAAGUCUGUGUGAAUACCACAGAUGAUGACGGUACCGUUUGUAAGCUCCGGCUAACUCCGUGCCAGCAGCCGCGGU